GACGAACGCUGGCGGCGUGCUUAACACAUGCAAGUCGAACGGAAAGGCCCUGCUUGCAGGGUACUCGAGUGGCGAACGGGUGAGUAACACGUGGGUGAUCUGCCCUGCACUUCGGGAUAAGUCUGGGAAACUGGGUCUAAUACCGGAUAGGAGCCAUUUUUAGUGUGAUGGUUGGAAAGUUUUUUCGGUGUAGGAUGAGCUUGCGGCCUAUCAGCUUGUUGGUGGGGUAAUGGCCUACCAAGGCGGCGACGGGUAGCCGGCCUGAGAGGGUGGACGGCCACAUUGGGACUGAGAGACGGCCCAGACUCCUACGGGAGGCAGCAGUGGGGAAUAUUGAACAAUGGGCGCAAGCCUGAUGCAGCGACGCCGCGUGGGGGAUGACGGCCUUCGGGUUGUAAACGCCUUUCGCUAGGGACGAAGCUUUUUGUGACGGUACCUAGAUAAGAAGCACCGGCUAACUACGUG
rnacentral:rRNA from 1 species